rnacentral:rRNA from 1 species
AGAUUGAACGCUGGCGGCAGGCCUAACACAUGCAAGUCGAACGGUAACAGGGAGUAGCUUGCUGCUCUGCUGACGAGUGGCGGACGGGUGAGUAAUGUCUGGGAAACUGCCUGAUGGAGGGGGAUAACUACUGGAAACGGUAGCUAAUACCGCAUAACGUCUACGGACCAAAGUGGGGGACCUUCGGGCCUCAUGCCAUCAGAUGUGCCCAGAUGGGAUUAGCUAGUAGGUGGGGUAACGGCUCACCUAGGCGACGAUCCCUAGCUGGUCUGAGAGGAUGACCAGCCACACUGGAACUGAGACACGGUCCAGACUCCUACGGGAGGCAGCAGUGGGGAAUAUUGCACAAUGGGCGCAAGCCUGAUGCAGCCAUGCCGCGUGUAUGAAGAAGGCCUUCGGGUUGUAAAGUACUUUCAGCGGGGAGGAAGGCGUUGUGGUUAAUAACCACAGCGAUUGACGUUACCCGCAGAAGAAGCACCGGCUAACUCCGUGCCAGCAGCCGCGGUAAUACGGAGGGUGCAAGCGUUAAUCG